rnacentral:rRNA from 1 species
UUGGAGGGCAAGUCUGGUGCCAGCAGCCGCGGUAAUUCCAGCUCCAAUAGCGUAUAUUAAAGUUGUUGCAGUUAAAAAGCUCGUAGUUGAAUUUCGGGAUUCGUCGGUUGGUCGGGCUUCACUGUCCGCACUGACCUGACGGGUUCCUACCUUCUGAAUAACCAGCAUGCUAUUAAGUUAGUGCGUUGGGGAAGCAGAGCUAUUACCUUGAAAAAAUUAGAGUACUUAAAGCAGGCUUGUGCUUGAAUAGAUUAGCAUGGAAUAAUAAAAUAGGACGGCAUGGUUCUAUUUUGUUGGUUUCUAGGAUCACCGUAAUGAUUAAUAGGGAUAGUUGGGGGCAUUAGUAUUCAAUUGUCAGAGGUGAAAUUCUUGGAUUUAUUGAAGACUAACUUCUGCGAAAGCAUUUGCCAAGGAUGUUUUCAUUAAUCAAGAACGAAAGUUAGGGGAUCGAAGACGAUCAGAUACCGUCGUAGUCUUAACCAUAAACUAUGCCGACUAGGGAUCGGACGAUGUUAAUUUUUUAAUGACUCGUUCGGCGCCUUACGGGAAAC